CGUGAGGAACCUGCCUUGGAGAGGGGGAUAACACUCCGAAAGGAGUGCUAAUACCGCAUGAUGCAGUUGGGUCGCAUGGCUCUGACUGCCAAAGAUUUAUCGCUCUGAGAUGGCCUCACGUCUGAUUAGCUAGUAGGCGGGGUAACGGCCCACCUAGGCGACGAUCAGUAGCCGGACUGAGAGGUUGACCGGCCACAUUGGGACGGAGACACGGCCCAG
rnacentral:rRNA from 1 species